UUCACAUAUUCUUGGUCAUUGAAUUCAUAAUUGACCGUCAAAUAUAUGGGUUCUGUUGGAGGGUCUGGAAUUUUCAGAGACAAAACAUAUAUGACUGAGGUUGAUGAAAUGAGAUUGCUUCAUCCAAGCCAAUCAUUCUAAUUUAUACUAAACCAGACUAUCAUCUGCUUCUUCUUCUUCAGCACUAUACAAAUCAAAGGACGCAGCAUUGAUGCUUAAAAGAGACUGAUAGAGGAGGAGGUUUUUGAAUGGAAACUACCCAAAUCAUCCAUUAAAAAAGAUGAUCAUAAGAUAUUAUUAAAGUUCCACUUAUUGAGAAGAUGAAGAACAGUCAAAAUCGCUUCUACCCCAGGUAACUGUUAGAUAUUUUGAAUUACAAUUAGUUUUUCAUCAGCUGCCCCUACUUUCUUUUACCAUGUUCAAGACUUAUUUUUCACUAUAUAUCUCAUGCUAUCUACUCUUUGCUGAUAAA